CUACGGGAGGCUGCAGUGGGGAAUAUUGCACAAUGGGCGCAAGCCUGAUGCAGCCAUGCCGCGUGUGUGAAGAAGGCCUUCGGGUUGUAAAGCACUUUCAGCGGGGAGGAAGGCGUUAAGGUUAAUAACCUUGGCGAUUGACGUUACCCGCAGAAGAAGCACCGGCUAACUCCGUGCCAGCAGCCGCGGUAAUACGGAGGGUGCAAGCGUUAAUCGGAAUUACUGGGCGUAAAGCGCACGCAGGCGGUCUGUCAAGUCGGAUGUGAAAUCCCCGGGCUCAACCUGGGAACUGCAUUCGAAACUGGCAGGCUAGAGUCUUGUAAAGGGGGGUAGAAUUCCAGGUGUAGCGGUGAAAUGCGUAGAGAUCUGGAGGAAUACCGGUGGCGAAGGCGGCCCCCUGGACAAAGACUGACGCUCAGGUGCGAAAGCGUGGGGAGCAAACAGGAUUAGAUACCCCAGUAGUC
rnacentral:rRNA from 1 species